UUGUAAUGCAGUCAUUAUGAAUUUGUCAUGAACAAUCUAUCUUUGUAAGACGAAGAUCUAUCUAUGUAACAGUUCUGUUUUUUUAAGCAAAAUUACACUCUAAAAUAUGGUUCAAAUGCAGUUUAUAAAACUCAGUAUUUAAUGCAAGGACAAAGCAAAGCUAUAUGUUAUCAUCACACAAGAAAAGCACAUAGGGAUUCUGC